rnacentral:rRNA from 1 species
AUUGAACGCUGGCGGCAUGCCUUACACAUGCAAGUCGAACGGUAACAGGUCUUCGGAUGCUGACGAGUGGCGAACGGGUGAGUAAUACAUCGGAACGUGCCUAGUAGUGGGGGAUAACUACUCGAAAGAGUGGCUAAUACCGCAUGAGAUCUACGGAUGAAAGCAGGGGAUCGCGAGACCUUGUGCUACUAGAGCGGCCGAUGGCAGAUUAGGUAGUUGGUGGGAUAAAAGCUUACCAAGCCGACGAUCUGUAGCUGGUCUGAGAGGACGAUCAGCCACACCGGGACUGAGAAACGGCCGAGACUCCUACGGGAGGCAGCAGUGGGGAAUUUUGGACAAUGGGCGCAAGCCUGAUCCAGCAAUGCCGCGUGCAGGAUGAAGGCCUUCGGGUUGUAAACUGCUUUUGUACGGAACGAAAAGCCCUGGGUUAAUACCCUGGGGUCAUGACGGUACCGUAAGAAUAAGCACCGGCUAACUACGUGCCAGCCGCCGCCGUAAUAC